AUUGAACGCUGGCGGCAUGCUUUACACAUGCAAGUCGAACGGUAACAGGCCGCAAGGUGCUGACGAGUGGCGAACGGGUGCGUAAUGCAUCGGAACGUGCCCAGUCGUGGGGGAUAAAUACUCGCAAGAGUAGCUAAUACCGCAUACGAUCUAUGGAUGAAAGCGGGGGACCGUAAGGCCUCGCGCGAUUGGAGCGGCCGAUGUCAGAUUAGGUAGUUGGUGGGGUAAAGGCUCACCAAGCCAACGAUCGGUAGCUGGUCUGAGAGGACGACCAGCCACACUGGGACUGAGACACGGCCCAGACUCCUACGGGAGGCAGCAGUGGGGAAUUUUGGACAAUGGGCGCAAGCCUGAUCCAGCAAUGCCGCGUGCAGGAAGAAGGCCUUCGGGUUGUAAACUGCUUUUGUACGGAACGAAACGGCUCUGGUUAAUACCCGGGGCUAAUGACGGUACCGUAAGAAUAAGCACCGGCUAACUACGUG
rnacentral:rRNA from 1 species